GAUGAACGCUGGCGGCGUGCCUAAUACAUGCAAGUAGAACGCUGAAGGAAGGAGCUUGCUCGUUCCGGGUGAGGUGCGAACGGGUGAGUAACGCGUAGGUAACCUGCCUGGUAGCGGGGGAUAACUAUUGGAAACGAUAGCUAAUACCGCAUAACAGUAGAUGUUGCAUGAUAGCUACUUAAAAGGUGCAAUUGCACCACGACCAGAUGGACCUGCGUUGUAUUAGCUAGUUGGUGAGGUAACGGCGCACCAAGGCGACGAUACGUAGCCGACCUGAGAGGGUGGUCGGCCACACUGGGAGGGUGACAGGGCCCAGACGCCUACGGGAGGCAGCAGUAGGGCAUCUUCGGCCAUGGGUGGAAGUCUGACCGAGAAGCGCCGCGUGAGUGAAGAAGGUUGUCGGGUCGUAAAGCUCUGUUGUAAGAGAAGAACGCGUGUGAGAGUGGAAAGUUCACACUGUGACGGUAUCUGACCAGAAAGGGCCGGCUAACUACGUG
rnacentral:rRNA from 1 species